GCGUGAGGGACGACGGCCUUCGGGUUGUAAACCUCUUUUGGCAGGGAAGAAGCGAAAGUGACGGUACCUGCAGAAAAAGCACCGGCUAACUACGUGCCAGCAGCCGCGGUAAUACGUAGGGUGCAAGCGUUGUCCGGAAUUAUUGGGCGUAAAGAGCUCGUAGGCGGUUUGUCGCGUCUGCUGUGAAAACGCGAGGCUCAACCUCGCGCCUGCAGUGGGUACGGGCAGACUAGAGUGCGGUAGGGGAGAUUGGAAUUCCUGGUGUAGCGGUGGAAUGCGC
rnacentral:rRNA from 1 species